rnacentral:tRNA from 1 species
GGAGGAGUGGCCGAGCGGUCGAAGGCGGCGGACUUGAAAUCCGUUGAGCCCUCACGGGUUCCCAGGGUUCGAAUCCCUGCUCCUCCG